CCAUUCCACUUCAUGCCUAAACGGUGUUGUUUCUUUUCCGUCCAUUCCACACAUGCAAAAAAGAUCAGAAACGCCCCCUCCACCCGGGUACAAAACCCUAUCCGCCGCACACCUUCUUGCUCCUUCUCCAUUCUUCUCACUUCACCAGGGAUGAACGAGAAUCAGACCCCUCCCAACAAAAAGCCCUAAUUCCCUUCCUCUAUCAUCAACUCCAAAUACC
rnacentral:lncRNA from 1 species